GUUGACUUAGUAAUUUGCAUAAAAAUCAGCCUUUGAUCGAAUGUCCGCUUUGUUUCGGAUUUGGUAAAAUUUGUGUCAUUGCAUCUAUAACAGUGUACAUGAAUCCUGAAUAUCAAUAAAAGAUGAACCCUUCAAUGGUUAAAUCAUUAUAGUCAAGAUAGAACCUAGUGAAAUCUUCCCAAGAUCGAUUUCGUUUAAUGUUAUUCACGUGUGUACAGAACAAGUAAACCACGAUGCGCCAUUUUAAGGUUCAUCAUAAGGAAUUUAAA
rnacentral:lncRNA from 1 species